GAAUUGCUAAUGAAGUCGUACUUUUCACCCGAGGGAAUCGAGUACAAUUUGUGUCGUGUUCCAAUGGCUGGCAGUGAUUUCUCAACGCGGCCGUACUCAUAUGACGAUGUUGAGGGUGAUGUUGAUCUGUUGCACUUCAAUCUUACUAUGGAGGAUUAUAAAUACAAGCUACCCUUCAUCAAACGAGCACAAGAACUAGCUGAGAGGAGUUGCACUUUGCU